rnacentral:RNase_P_RNA from 1 species
CGAGCGGUCGCUCCGGCUUCGGCCGGGGAGGAAAGUCCGGACUCCAUAGGGCGGGAUGUCCCGUGGUCAACGCGGGAAGGGCGCCGCGAUACCGGCGCCGAUGGAAAGUGCCACAGAAAACAAACCGCCUUCCGCUCCGGCGGGAGGCAAGGGUGAAAAGGCGGUGCAAGAGACCACCGGGCCCGCGCGAAAGCGGAGCCGCAUGGCAAACCCCAUCCGGAGCAAGAUCAAAUAGGGAGGUGAGGCGCUGCCCGCGCCGUUCGGUCCGCCGAUAAAUCUCCGGGUUGAUCGCGUUAGAAAAAUGAUCGCGCGUCAGCGAUGACGACAGAAUCUGGCUUAUGAACA